ensembl:snRNA U6 U6 spliceosomal RNA
GUGCUCACUUUGGAAGUUUAUACACUAAAAUUGGAACAAUACAGAUCAGAUGACCAUGGCCCCUACAUAAGGAUGACACACAAAUUUGUAGAAAGAAAAAAAACAUAA